UCGCUUCAGUAGCACAUAUACUAAAAUUGGAACGAUACAGAGAAGAUUAACAUGGCCCCUGCACAAGGAUGAUGCUACCACCCAAUGGCUCACGAGAGACCAAACUUGC